UCCAUACGAACCUACACUCAA
rnacentral:piRNA from 1 species